UUUUUCUUCCUGCAUGUAAAUAUAACUUUCGUACGCUUUGGGUAGCUAAUUUCCAAUACAUUGUUGUAUAUGUGUAUAGACUCUGUGAUACACGUUUUAGGGAUAGGAAGCUUGCUGGCAAGUGUCUAGUGUGUAACAUUAACUAUGAUAUGAAACUUUGAGUCAUUCAACUGCUUUCCAGUUACUGUAGUUACCCAGAAUGCUAUCGUUCAAUCAAUUAUUGUGGCUAUUUUGUAGCCUAGCUUUUAUUUUACUAUCACAAUGCACCUAUGCAAAAUACUUAAAAAGCUCAUGUAAUACCUGCAAACAGAUAGCUGAUAACUUCAGUAAGGGAUUGGACCGAACAAAAAAGCAGAACUUUGGUGGAGGAAACACCGCUUGGGAGGAGAGGGCACUUUCCAAAUAUGAGACCAGUGAGAUCCGCCUAGUUGAGAUUCUGGAGAAUCUGUGUGACAGCAGCAGCUUUGACUGUAACCACAUGGUAGAGGAGCACGAGGACCACUUUGAGACCUGGUGGUUCAAGAGGCAAAAUAAGCAUCCUGAUCUGUAUAAGUGGUUUUGCGUUGAUACCAUCAAGGUGUGCUGUUCGACGGGAACAUUUGGCCCUGAUUGUAAUGCCUGUGUGGCGGGUUCUGAGAGGCCUUGCCAUGGCAACGGCGUGUGUGACGGUGAUGGAACACGAGGGGGUAACGGCAGGUGCAACUGUGACCAUGGUUACAAGGGGGAGUUCUGUCUGGACUGCAUGGACGGAUACUUCAAUGAAAUUAGGAACGACACGUUUUCACUAUGCACAGGCUUGGUGUCUUUGGAGCAGGGCAUGCAUCUCAACCACCUUUCCCACUCCAUUCCCUACACUACAGAGUGCCACACCUCCUGCAAGACCUGCACUGGUCUAACCAAUGAGGACUGUGAGAAGUGCAAGACUGGCUGGGGGGAGGAUGAUGAGGGGACCUGUCUUGAUGUGAACGAGUGCUUGAACGACCCUACUCUCUGCAAAGAGGAUCAGUACUGUCUGAACACGGAUGGCUCGUUCUCCUGUAAAGGCUGUGAUGAGUUGUGUUCAGGCUGUACUGGGGCAGGGCCUGAUAAGUGCCAGAGCUGUGCUCCUGGGUACCAGGACACAGAGGGCACCUGCACAGACAGUGCCGAAAAUGUGAUUGUCGAUCUGUUCAGAUGUGAACGAGUGUGAGCAGACUGAUGCUGUGUGUACUGCGGAGAACCAGGAGUGUUUAAACAACAAAGGAAGCUACAUCUGUAUCUGUGCCAGCAGGUACAAGGAACAGGAGGGAGUCUGUGUAAAAAUACCAGAGCCAGAGGAGAAUGAGGCAGAAAUAGUGAAACGUCCAGAAGAGCACGAAGACCUUUGACCUCAGGAAAUGAACUAAUAGGAACAAACCAGGAAGAGCAUUUGGAGUAAAUUAUGAGGUGGGUGUCACCCGUGAGACAUCAGAAUAUAUUAAGGCCACUCCCUUUAAAAGCAUUGCGACUACAUGGCAGUUGAUCACUCGACAUGCAUACUGCACUCUUUACAGAUUUAUACCUGUCGAUCAUGGAUGGACAGCCAACAGAAUGGCUUAGAAAAUUAAAGAUUCAACCCCCAAGUA